rnacentral:SRP_RNA from 1 species
UGACAGAUACCAGGCAAUGGAUGCCUCCCAACCCCGCCAGGACAGGAAUGUAGCAACGGUCAGAGGACGUUUCAUGUGACCUGGACCAUUUGUUGCCG